ACGAGAAGACCCUAUGGAGCUUUAGACNNAAGACAGAUCAUGUUAAACACCCCCCAAUAAAGGCCUAAACUUAAUGAUCCCCUGUCCUAAUGUCUUCGGUUGGGGCGACCAUGGGGAAACACAAAUCCCCCAUGUGGAAUAGGAGGACAAUCCCAUAUUAUUUUCCUCUCCUCCCACAAGCAAGAGCCACAACUCUAGCUAACAGAACUUUUGACCUUAUAUGAUCCGGCGCACGCCGAUCAACGGACCAAGUUACCCUAGGGAUAACAGCGCAAUCCCCUUUUAGAGCCCAUAUCGACAAGGGGGUUUACGACCUCGAUGUUGGAUCAGGACAUCCUAAUGGUGCAGCCGCUAUUAAGGGUUCGUUUGUU
rnacentral:rRNA from 1 species